AGUUUGAUCUUGAUUUGCAGGCACAACCUGAUGAUGUAUGCUCACAGGUUGGCUUAUGUUUCAAAAGGACUAAAUCAGAGAGCAAUGGAAUUGAGAUGGUGACCGAAAAGGAACAGAGAGAGUUGUCAACUAAAGAUACUGCUUUGUGCACUUCCUGUCAGAUGCUCGUGGUUUGGAUUCAGAAUCAACUAAAACAAAAGAAGACCAAGGAGAUAGUAUUCAACUAUGUAAAUCAGCUGUGCGAGAGCUGGCCUAGUCCA